AACGGCCAUACCAUGCUGAAUAUAUCGGUUCUCGUUAGUUCACCGAAGUCAAGCAUCAUUGGGCGCGGUCAGUACUUGGGUGGGUGACCACCUGGGAACACCGCGUGCCGUU
rnacentral:rRNA from 1 species